rnacentral:rRNA from 1 species
GAAUUGACGGGGGCCCGGCACAAGCGGAGGAACAUGUGGUUUAAUUCGAUGAUACGCGAGGAACCUUACCUGGGCUUAAAUGUAGAACGACAGCUUGUGAAAGCAGGUUUUCUUCGGACGUUUUACAAGGUGCUGCAUGGUUGUCGUCAGCUCGUGCCGUGAGGUGUCGGGUUAAGUCCCAUAACGAGCGCAACCCUUAUCGUUAGUUGCCAGCGGGUCAAGCCGGGGACUCUAGCGAGACUGCCACCGUAAGGUGAGAGGAAGGUGGGGAUGACGUCAAAUCAGCACGGCCCUUAUGUCCAGGGCUACACACGUGUUACAAUGGCCAGUACAAAGGGCAGCUACCAGGCGACUGGAUGCUAAUCUCUAAAGCUGGUCUCAGUUCGGAUCGAAGUCUGCAACCCGACUUCGUGAAGCUGGAUUCGCUAGUAAUCGCGCAUCAGCCAUGGCGCGGUGAAUACGUUCCCG